UACGUAGGUGGCAAGCGUUAUCCGGAAUUAUUGGGCGUAAAGCGCGCGUAGGCGGUAAGAUAAGUCUGAUGUGAAAGCCCCCGGCUCAACCGGGGAGGGUCAUUGGAAACUGUUUUACUUGAGUACAGAAGAGGAGAGUGGAAUUCCAUGUGUAGCGGUGAAAUGCGCAGAGAUAUGGAGGAACACCAGUGGCGAAGGCGGCUCUCUGGUCUGUAACUGACGCUGAGGUGCGAAAGCGUGGGGAUCAAACAGG
rnacentral:rRNA from 1 species